AAAAAUCACCACCUGGCAUUCUUUCUUCGGCCAACCGCUGCAAGGUAUAUAAGGCGGGAGAUUCAAGAGGAGGGCAUCAGUUGGUCCCCAGCUGGCAACGAGUAAGGAGCUCCUCACCUGGACUAUCGCAUAAGACAAUGGUGAAGACAACAGUGGCGAUGGUGGUGGUGGCGGUGAUGGUGGUGGUACUGGGAGAACCCGCUUGCGCAUCUCUCCCUGCAGGUAACGGGCCCCAUCGCAACAUGGUGAUAGGAGACGGGGAGGUCGGGCCAGAGUACCUCCACCACCUGCAGUCUGACCUCGCCCAGCUUCGCCAACACCCCUUUCCUGAGAUCCGUGACGUCAGGAUUGUUGACGGAAGCAAUGGCCCAAGACUGGACAUGCCGUUGACUGGGUGCAGGGACUCCAUGGACUGUCACCACCGCUUUGCAAAUUAUUUAGGUCUUCUGGUCAGGAUGAUUGAAACUGGCAAGAAAUGAGGAGGAGGAAGAGGAAGAGGAGGAGGAGGAAGAGGAGGAGGAAGAGGAGGGAUUUGAGAGACUGAGAGAGAGAGAGAGAGAGAAAUAAUUUGUUUUUUUUUUCGUUCGUCUUCUUCUUCUUCUUCUUUUUUCCUCUUCGUAUUAUUUAUCAUUACUACUACUACUACUACUACUACUACUACUACUACUACUACUACUACUGCACGAGGAGUAUAUAAUUUUAUAGAUGGAAAUAAAAAUUAAUUGUAAUGAAA